CCUACGGGUGACAGCAGUGAGGAAUAUUGGUCAAUGGGCGCGAGCCUGAACCAGCCAAGUCGCGUGAGGGAAGACGGUCCUAUGGAUUGUAAACCUCUUUUGUCGGGGAGCAAAAGACGCCACGCGUGGCGUUCCGAGAGUACCCGAAGAGAAAGCAUCGGAAAACUCCGCUCCAGCAGCCGCGGUAAUACGGGGGAGGCGAGCGUUAUCCGGAUUUGUUGGGUUUAACGGGUGCGCAGGCGGAAGAUCAAGUCAGCGGUAAAAUUGAGGGGCUCAACCUCUUCGAGCCGUUGAAACUGGUUUUCUUGAGUGAGUGAGAAGUAUGCGGAAUGCGAGGUGUAGCGGUGAAAUGCAUAGAUAUCACGCAGAACUCCGAUUGCGAAGGCAGCAUACCGGCGCUCAACUGACGCUCAUGCACGAAAGUGUGGGUAUCGAACAGGAUUAGAUACCCUUGUAGUC
rnacentral:rRNA from 1 species